UUGUGCCCUUGAGGCGUGGCUUCCGGAGCUAACGCGUUAAGUCGACCGCCUGGGGAGUACGGCCGCAAGGUUAAAACUCAAAUGAAUUGACGGGGGCCCGCACAAGCGGUGGAGCAUGUGGUUUAAUUCGAUGCAACGCGAAGAACCUUACCUGGUCUUGACAUCCACAGAACUUUCCAGAGAUGGAUUGGUGCCUUCGGGAACUGUGAGACAGGUGCUGCAUGGCUGUCGUCAGCUCGUGUUGUGAAAUGUUGGGUUAAGUCCCGCAACGAGCGCAACCCUUAUCCUUUGUUGCCAGCGGUCCGGCCGGGAACUCAAAGGAGACUGCCAGUGAUAAACUGGAGGAAGGUGGGGAUGACGUCAAGUCAUCAUGGCCCUUACGACCAGGGCUACACACGUGCUACAAUGGCGCAUACAAAGAGAAGCGACCUCGCGAGAGCAAGCGGACCUCAUAAAGUGCGUCGUAGUCCGGAUUGGAGUCUGCAACUCGACUCCAUGAAGUCGGAAUCGCUAGUAAUCGUGGAUCAGAAUGCCACGGUGAAUACGUUCCCGGGCCUUGUACACACCGCCCGUCACACCAUGGGAGUGGGUUGCAAAAGAAGUAGGUAGCUUAACCUUCGGGAGGGCGCUUACCACUUUGUGAUUCAUGACUGGGGUGAAGUCGUAACAAGGUAACCGUAGGGGAACCUGCGGUUGGAUCACCUCCUU
rnacentral:rRNA from 1 species